CUAAAAAAGAAAAUGGUUGAAGCAGAGAGUUCGCAAAAUUUACAAAGCACCCAAGAUUCUACUGAUUGGACAAAUGAUAUAUAUUCAAAAGUCAAAGGACCUGAAAAAAGAGGACGUGUGCGUUGUCUUGGCAAGCUUCCACAUCAAGCAAGUUCAUCUCAAAGCUCUUAUACAAACAAUAGAAUUCAAAAGUUGGAGAAUUUGCUUGGAAACCUUGUAGCUGUGCUUAAAGUACGAUUUGCAGAAGAUCCACAAAUUAAUCAAGUCUUAGAAGCUAUAGAUCAAGAGGUACCUACAAAUGAUUCUACCGGUAAAGAUCAUCAAACUACAAACAAUCUUAGCUAGAGUCUUGUUCCUUUUACUUGAAUGAUGAUUUGGAAAGCCCUCGUGCAAUUGGACCCUUCUUUAGGCUCUCACGGUCAAGGAAAAGAUGAUGGCAGCAUCAACCACAUGAUUAUUCUGUUUGUGUCCCCACUAUAAAUAUAUAAUUGGGUCAUCUAAUUGAUCUUUUCUGGAUGGGAUCACCUAAAUGAAUUAUUGAUUAACUGGACCAGCUUGUGAUAAUAUAUUGUUAAAUUUACACGUCCCAUUUUUCUUUUUUGAGGUUUGUUUUCUUGUAUAUGUUAUUGGGUGAUAUAUACUUGUUAAAUACAUACUUGAAAGACCUAUGCUAAAGCAAGAGUAUUUUACAAUUGGAAUGAGGGUGGGAAAAAUGUGAAGCAGAAAAGCAACCUUAUUUUCAUGUGAAUGUUUGGCUAUUAUUGUUGCA